CGGUCCCGACUGGACAGACCAGGCGUUGGCUCUUCGUUGAACUGUCGUCGGUGCCCGGCUGCCUGGAAUGCGGACCUCUGCCGCACUGCAAGACCCUAAGAGAACAAAGACUCAUUUUCCCUGAGCAUCAUUCUCUAUGUGUUCUUACAAUAAGAAGAAAACAUCAUAUGCAGCAGGAACGAUGCUAACUGCUUCACUUAUGAACACUACUUUUUCUGGUCAUUUUUUAUCGCCUGUCACAUACACACAGCAAGGAAAAAGGAAAGCAGGCAAUAGACCCAUCCUAGGGGAUUCUGCUUGGGUGUGUGAGAAGCCAGUGCAUUCUGGGUCCAAUUCCCUGCCUACGCAGUGUGACCUUAGAAGAGGCUCAUUUCCACAUAGAUGAUCUUAUCCCUCGAACCUAAAGGAGCAGCCCUUAGAGACAGUGCUGCCUUUUUACUCCUGACAACUACCGACAGUUGGCCAUUGUCACCACGAUGUCAUGGGUCUGUACCUGUUGUUUACAUGGGGGAGCAGGGCUGUCCCUACAUCAGGCAGCUGUGUUGGUGGGAUGCUCCUUUGUAAACACAGCCAUGGAGGGAGCAGCUCUUCUUUCAGAAAGCAAGUCUGAAUGCUUUGCAGCCCUGAGCGGCUGCCUUGGUUCAGGAGCAGCCCAGAUGAGUCUGGAGUUAAGAAGUGAGAGUGGAGGUGAGCUGCUGGAAGACACGUUCUGCAGUCAUUACGUCCUCACAGCAGCCAUCAAGGUGCCCUCUGCUUUAAGAUGGGCACACCAAGGCCCAGGGGAGUCGAGUCAUUUGGCUGAGGCCACACAGUUAGGAUUCUAAUAGCACAGGAUCUAACCCCAGAACCCUUCUUAACAAUUAUGCUAAUGAUUAACACUUAAGGGCAAAUCAGAUUUUGGUGACAUUUGGAGUGACAGGGCCUCUCCUUGGGGAGUGUCCUUGGCCAAAACUACUUCCCUAGCUUCUGCCUGGCACAGUGAAUUCUAAUCAGAAGCCCCACCUAAAUGGUUAAAAUGGUAACUGCUAAACAAUCAAUCUUCCUGUAGCUUUGCAGAUACCAGAAGAUCCGAUGACCUUUGUAACAUUGCUUCCUUGUCUUCCCCUACAAACUAAUUCAUACUCACCACUGUGCUGUUUAGCUCCUGAUAAGCAGCCCGUCUGUUUUAGGAACAUACAGGAACUAGUCCCAGGAGAUAAAGUGAAUUGCGGUGUUCUGGACAGAGGAGAAGAAACAAAACAAACACACCAAAAAAAAAAAAAAAAAAAAAGAGAGACAACCUCUUGGGAUCACUGCUUCUCGAUCCUUCCACUUUUACGUGAGUUCGGAGGUUGAACUCAGGUCAUCAGGCUCACAUGGCAAGUGCUUUUACAUACUAAGGCAUCUUGCCAGUCUGGUAUGACAUCUACCAUGUAGCCCAGGCUAGCCUCUGAAGAUUGGCUUUUGAGCAGCAAGCAUCCUCAACCAGGUACAGUUAGGAGCACCACUUUAGAAUCAGAGCCUGGGAAGCUUUACAAAUCAUUUCAAGGGCAGACUCACUUCAUCUUUCCAGGCUCCCUGUGAAAGUCAGGAUUGUCGUCCUUGUUUGCCUCAUGAGGGAACAAAGCCUCAGGAGUGUAUUUGGAUGCCCAAAGCCAUACAAAUGAUGGCAAGAGAGUAAGGCACAGCUGGAACUGGAAGCCACUUGACCACGGCUGUGUCUUUAAGAGAAACUCCAGGCAGAUGUUGUUCAGACAGUCAGACAUACCUAAACAAGAGCAGCUGUGAUAACAGUGUCUCUGUGGCAUUUAGGAGAGGACAUUUGUCCCUGGCUGCCCUUAGAAUGGUAUUAAUCUGAGCUGUGACUUCCAGAACUGCUCAGCCUCUUUCAUGCUUUGAUUCCUGCCCUAAAGCUACCAAAGGUUUAAGAGACAUCUGGAGUCAAGGAGUAGGAAGCUAAGCUAGAUGCAAGUUGGGCCAUUGAAUUUGCCCUUCUGGAUAGCUCCCUUGGUUCUUGGCCUUAUUUCUGGAGGAAUGCCCAUGGCCAGGGCCAGGAGGGCGGGAUGGACACUUGGAGUAGACAGGGGUCCUGCCCAAAAUAGCUUUGAGUCAUGUGAUGAUGACAGAUGGGCUCCAUGCCAGGCCUUAUCUCAUAAACUAUCCCAAACAGGAAGGACCAGCAGGUCCGAUCUGAGGACCAGGAGCAGGAAAGGGAUGAGGGAUGGCAUUUCCAGUCUAAAGGAGUGUUCAGAAAGAACGUGGGAGCAGGAGCUGGGAGACUGGUAGAAGACAGACCCAACUGAGGAAUGUGGGAAGUGUUGAACAGACCUAUGGGGGGUGGACUGGAAUGGAGGGAGCCUUGGACUGUCUGAGCCUGGGCUGGAGAUCUGGAGAGAGAACUCCCAGUUCCAUGCCGCAGGGCUGAAACUCUUUGUUCCAAAGGACUUUAUCUUGACAGCAUCAUCUCAAGCCUCCAGUUGACUUUACACUGUCUGCUCUUACCUCACGGGGAAUGGACCCGCCUAGAAACAUAGGAUGCAUGUGAAAUGACGGGCCUCAGCUCAGCUUUUGAUACAUCUUUGGACAGUCUUUAGGCCUCUCCCAGUUCUCUUCCCUAAUGGCUCACACCUGGACAAGCCUGCCAGAACAGACAGGGCCUCCCUUCAUUGUCUGAGGGAAGGAGUGUCCCAGAGGCCCUCCCUCACCCCCAACCACAGUGAAAAUCCUCCUUCCUGGCUCUCAAGCCAUUUGAGACCUGUUGUCCUGAGAGACUCCCUUUCUGCAAACAAUAAAACCUUUCAUGCUCUCUUGGUUCAUGAGUAGUGUUAUCCAUCUUGACAUUUGAAUAAAACCUUUGAUGAGG